rnacentral:rRNA from 1 species
GUAGGGUGCAGGCGUUAAUCGGAAUUACUGGGCGUAAAGCGUGCGCAGGCGGUUUGUUAAGACAGGUGUGAAAUCCCCGGGCUUAACCUGGGAACUGCGCUUGUUACUGGCAGACUCGAGUGUGGCAGAGGGGGGUGGAAUUCCAGGUGUAGCAGUGAAAUGCGUAGAGAUCUGGAGGAACACCGAUGGCGAAGGCAGCCCCCUGGGCUAACACUGACGCUCAUGCACGAAAGCGUGGGGAGCAAACAGGAUUAGAUACCCUGGUAGUCCACGCCCUAAACUAUGUCAACUAGUUGUCGGGGAAGCAAUUCCUUGGUAACGAAGCUAACGCGUGAAGUUGACCGCCUGGGGAGUACGGCCGCAAGGUUA